rnacentral:rRNA from 1 species
AGUGAACGCUGGCGGUACGCCUAACACAUGCAAGUCGAACGGCAGCACAUUAAUUGCUUUCUCGUACGGGUGUCGAGUAGCGGCCAAGGGGUGAGUACAUCGUAAGCUACCUGUUCGUGGGUGAGGACGAAGGGAGAGUUACUGUGAUACAUCAUAGGACCGACGGGUGAAAGCUGGGUAUGUUCGGACCUUGCGCUAUUGAAGGAGCUGAUGUCCUAUUAGCUUGUUGGCGGGGUAAAGGGGCACUAGGGCGGCGACGGGUAGCCGGCCUGCGUGGGCGGCCGGGCACAUUGGGCCUGGGCUACGGUCCAGACUGCUGCGGGAGGCAGCAGUGGGGAAUAUUGCACGAUGGGCGGAAGCCUGAUGCAGCGGCGCCGCGUGGGGGAUGACGGCCUUCGGGGUCUAAACUCCGUUCGACAGCGAGGAAGCCACCUGGUCGGAAGGGUGUGGACGGUAGUGGUAGAAGAAGCACCGGCAAACUACGU